rnacentral:lncRNA from 1 species
CCUGGUCAACAUGGUAAAACCCCGUCUCUACAAAAAAUUAGAUGGGCAUGGUGGCACGUGCCUGUAGUCCCAGCUAUUCAGGAGAAUUGCUUGAACCCAGGAGGCAGAGGCUAUAGUAAGCCAUGUUUGUACCACUGCACUGCAGCCUGGGUGACAAAGCAAGGCCCUGUCUCAAAAAAUAUAAAUAUAAAUAAAUAAAUAC